rnacentral:rRNA from 1 species
UACGGAGGGUGCAAGCGUUAAUCGGAAUUACUGGGCGUAAAGCGCACGCAGGCGGUCUGUCAAGUCGGAUGUGAAAUCCCCGGGCUCAACCUGGGAACUGCAUUCGAAACUGGCAGGCUAGAGUCUUGUAGAGGGGGGUAGAAUUCCAGGUGUAGCGGUGAAAUGCGUAGAGAUCUGGAGGAAUACCGGUGGCGAAGGCGGCCCCCUGGACCGAUACUGACGCUGAGGAGCGAAAGCCAGGGGAGCAAACGGG